rnacentral:rRNA from 1 species
AUUGAACGCUGGCGGCAUGCCUUACACAUGCAAGUCGAACGGUAACAGGUCUUUCGGGAUGCUGACGAGUGGCGAACGGGUGAGUAAUGCAUCGGAACGUACCUUUCAGUGGGGGAUAACGUAGCGAAAGUUACGCUAAUACCGCAUAUUCUGUGAGCAGGAAAGCAGGGGAUCGCAAGACCUUGCGCUGAUUGAGCGGCCGAUGUCAGAUUAGCUAGUUGGUGAGGUAAAGGCUCACCAAGGCGACGAUCUGUAGCGGGUCUGAGAGGAUGAUCCGCCACACUGGAACUGAGACACGGUCCAGACUCCUACGGGAGGCAGCAGUGGGGAAUUUUGGACAAUGGGGGCAACCCUGAUCCAGCCAGGCCGCGUGAGUGAAGAAGGCCUUCGGGUUGUAAAGCUCUUUCGGCCGGGAAGAAAUCGUAUCAGCUAAUACCUGGUGCGGAUGACGGUACCGGCAUAAGAAGCACCGGCUAACUACGUGCCAGCCGCCGCGGUAACAC